GAUGAACGCUGGCGGCGUGCCUAAUACAUGCAAGUCGAGCGAACAGACGAGGAGCUUGCGCCUCGGACGUUAGCGGCGGACGGGUGAGUAACACGUGUAUCACGCACCUAUAAUACGGGUAUCACUUCGGGAAACGGGCGCUAAUACCGUAGAAGAUAUUGAACCGCGGUGUUGAAUGGAAAGAUUCGGCGUUUCUGGCAGUUAUAGAUGGAUCUCCGCCGGAUUAGCUGGUUGUGAAGUUCACGGCUUAUCAAGGCAACGAUGCGUGGCCGACCUGUGAGAGGGGUAGGCCACCUGGGAGCUGAGACACGGUCCAGGCUCCUACGGGAGGGACCAGUAGGGAAUCUGCCGCAAAGGGCGAAAACAUGACGGAGCAGCGCCGCGUGAGUGAUAACAAUCUUCGGAUCGUAAAGCUCUGUUAUUAGGGAAGAACAAAUGUGUAAGUAACUAUGCACGUCUUGACGGUAACUGAUAAGAAAGCAACGGCUAACUACGUG
rnacentral:rRNA from 1 species